AACAACUGGCAGUAGAAGUAUGUUAUUUAGAGAUCUGGAGGUAAAUACCAAACAAAUUACUUGGAAGAGUUGAAAUUGGAUGUCUCCUAAAGGUACAACUUCACUAAGAACAAACCCUGAAUUAACUUGCACAGGAUUACACAGCCUACAGCGGUAGGAAUGGGGCUUCUAAUCUAGCUGCUCUGGUUCUCUGACCUAUUUGUCACGUCUCUACCAACAGAGCCAAUGAAGUCUAUUCGAAAUCUAGACAAAAAAACUCCAGGUGAGGGACGCCU